CUGACCCUCAUCCCUAAAUGAAGGGGGUAAAAUAUAUACCACCUCAGAGAAUAAAACAAAACCCCUUACACAGCACCCCCUACUCCCCUGAUUUGAAUGGGGCGAUGGUCGGGACAUGAAGAGGAAUUGAGCAAAGAAUGUCUGGAAGAGGAUAUGACAGGAGGAGGAAGGCGGCUUUGGAUAGCGAUGGGAAGGGAGAUUUGGAGCAGAGGGGCACUGGAGUGUGCGCACGGCGAAGAGGGCUAUUCAAUUAAGGAGUGAGAAUAGAAGAGCGAGGGGCUGACGAGGAGAGGCCGGGAGAGAGAUGUGUAGAAAAGGGGAAAUGUGUGGCGAGGGGUAGGUGGAGAAGGGUUUGAAGUGGGCUGUGGCUGGAGGGAGAGGGAUCGGUGGCUUUGGGGCAAGUGGAGAGAGAAGUCGAAGGGUUGAUGGACGGGGGUAAAUGGGGAAAGGUGGAGGGAAGGAAGAAGAACGUGGGCAGGGAUGAUGUGGAGGUCAGUGGUAGAGAAGUGAGGGGAUGCGGGCGGGGAGAUGCUUCAGCACACAAGAGGGUCGCGACAGCCCGAGGACCCCCAACGAUACAGGAGCCAGGGUGGGGGUGGGGGCGGGAGUAAUGUCCCGGGAUCACUAGGGGUAUCGGUGAAGCAUCCGGAACCGCUGGAAAACCCUGAGCCCUGCAUAGCUUUGCGUACUGCUCCAAUCAGGCCCAAUAUAAGCUUAAAGAGAAGUACUUCACCUUCUUUACGAACAUGAUGCAGCCUUCAGGACUCAAUAUCAAAUAAAACAAUUUCAGGAAGUGAAUCAUAUUGCCGAAUUACUGUGAUGUUGGAGAUAACAGGAAGAAGCAAAAUUGGAUCGUCCAUUCAUGCAUCUCAAUCAAGUACACAAACAUUCUUUGUCUUUCACAUGAAUGAGAAAAAGCAUUCAUCAAAAUAGCAAGCUCUGAAGUGAGUAGGCAGCAUCCAACCUCUUGGCUCUACAGAUAACUGUGGAAAGUACAUCACCAAGGCCUGGACUGACGAGAACAUCCCACAGCAAUGGAGAAUUGCAAACAUCAUUGUCAUUUAUAAGAACAAGGGUGACAAGGUCGUCUGCGACAAUAGUAGGGGCAUAUCACUCCUUUCUGUUGCUGGAAAGGUCCUGGCUAAGGUGAUGCUUCAGAGACUCAUCAGCAACAUCACCGAGUCAAUGCUGCCUGAAUCACAGUGUGGAUUUAGUAUGAACAGGAGAACAAUCGACAUGAUCAUCACAGUCCGGCAGCUUCAGGAAAAGUGCCCGGAGCAACAUGAGGACCUGUUUAUGGCCUUUGUCAACCUCUCCAAAGCAUUCAACACCAUGCAAAGAGAGCUCUUAUGGGAUGUCCUCCUCAGGUUUGGCUGUCCCAAUAAAUUUGUUAACAUCCUCCGCUAAUUCGACGAUGGGAUGACUGCUCGGGUGACCAUAGGAGGACAAGAGUCUGAGCCCUUCCUUGUACGCACAGGGGUGUGUGCUAUUGCCAGUGCCCUUUAACAUCUUCCUCCUGUGUGUUACCAAGCUUCUCCACAACAAGAUUGAGGAUAGCAGCGGUGUGGCAGUGGACGUCAGAUUCGGUGGCAACCUCUGACAUCAGGAGGCUCCACACAACCACCAAGCUCUGUGGAGAGCGGGUCCUGGAGCUGCAGUAUGCAGACGACUGUGCUCUUGUGGCCCACACUCCAGAGGAUCUUCAGACUGUCCUUGCUGUGGCGGUGAGAUUGGACAGCAGGAUGGGGCUGACUGUCAAUACCACCAAGACAGAAGUGGUUUGCCAGUGGAGUACCAGUGUCCCACCCACCCUACCUGCCUUCACUUUUGGUGAUGAAAAGCUAUCAGCAGUGCCAUCUUUCAAAUAUCUGGGGAGCAUUCUCUCUGAGGAUAGUGGCAUUGACAACAACAUCCAGAGUCCCAUUAAACAGGCAUCAGCUGCCUUUGGGAGACAGGCAUCAGCUUCUUUUUAGAGUCUUUCAGAACAGGAGCCUUCAUCCCUCCACAAAGGUCGCCGUAUACCAAGCAGUCUGUGUCACCACCCUCCUUUACAGCUGUGAAGCUUGGGUAACCUACAGCCAUCACAUCAAGUCCUUGGAGCGCUUCCACAUAAGCUGCCUUCAGUGCAUCCUGGGAAUUACCUGGCAUGAGCGGGUGCCUAACACUGAAAUACCUGUAAAGACAAACUGAAAAAGUAUUGAGGCCAUGAUCACCCAGCAUCAGCUGCAGUGGCUGGGGCACGUAAUAAGGAUGCCCCCAUGUCGGCUACCCCGCAGAGUGUUAUACGGCCAGCUACAUCAUGGUCAACACUCAGCUGGAGGGCCGAAGAAGCACUAUAAGGAUCAGAUGAAGAAUGCUUUAAGGAAGUGCAAGAUCAGACCUGAGGACCUGGAGGAUAUUGCUGCUGACCUUAACACUUGGUGAUGGCUGUGUAGAGACAGGGUUCAUAUUCUGGAGAUGGAAAGAACAACCAGAAGACAGCAGAAGAGAGCCAGGAGAAAUGCAGCCACGGUUGCCACCACUACCACAUAUACAGGUCCCACCUGCAAUAGAGCUUGUGGGUCCAGGAUAGGACUGUAAGGUCAUCAAAGAUCUCACCGUUAAAGGAGUGGAUGUCGUCAUCGGAUUUCGAUGGACAACCGAAGAAGAAGAAUGUCAUUUUAGGGUUAGAUGGUGGGCGGGAGAAGAUUUUUUUGAAUCGCUGAGUGUGUGCCUUCAGGCUUCUGUACCUCUUUCCUGAUGGUAACAAUGAGAAGAGAGCAUGCCCUGGGUGAUGGGGGUACUUAAUAAUGGACACUGCCUUUCUGAGGCACUGCUCCCUUAAGAUGCCUUGGAUACUACAGAGGUUAGUACCCAAGAUGGAGCCGACUAAUUUUACAACUUUUUUGACAAAUUUUAAAUGCAGAGCUAAUGUUGAGUUUACUUUAAGCGAGGCACGCAUGUAUCACAUGGUAGCAUGAUGACGUAUGCAGUUCAUGUAUUUAUACAUAUAACCCAUAAUUAAUUAUUUAAGCAAGUAAGAAUGCUUAA